AGAGUUUGAUCCUGGCUCAGGAUGAACGCUAGUAGUAUGCUUAACACAUGCAAGUCGAACGAUGAACCACUUCGGUGGGGAUUAGUGGCGAACGGGUGAGUAACACGUGGGCAAUCUGCCCUUCACUCUGGGACAAGCCCUGGAAACGGGGUCUAAUACCGGAUACCACCAUCGCAGGCAUCUGUGGUGGUUGAAAGCUCCGGCGGUGAAGGAUGAGCCCGCGGCCUAUCAGCUUGUUGGUGAGGUAAUGGCUCACCAAGGCGACGACGGGUAGCCGGCCUGAGAGGGCGACCGGCCACACUGGGACUGAGACACGGCCCAGACUCCUACGGGAGGCAGCAGUGGGGAAUAUUGCACAAUGGGCGAAAGCCUGAUGCAGCGACGCCGCGUGAGGGAUGACGGCCUUCGGGUUGUAAACCUCUUUCAGCAGGGAAGAAGCGAAAGUGACGGUACCUGCAGAAGAAGCGCCGGCUAACUACGUGCCAGCCGCCGCGGUAAUAC
rnacentral:rRNA from 1 species